rnacentral:rRNA from 1 species
CUCCUACGGGGCGCAGCAGUGGGGAAUAUUGCACAAUGGGGGAAACCCUGAUGCAGCGACGCCGCGUGAGCGAUGAAGUAUCUCGGUAUGUAAAGCUCUAUCAGCAGGGAAGAAAGUGACAGUACCUGACUAAGAAGCCCCGGCUAACUACGUGCCAGCAGCCGCGGUAAUACGUAGGGGGCAAGCGUUAUCCGGAUUUACUGGGUGUAAAGGGAGCGUAGACGGCUGUGCAAGUCUGGAGUGAAAGGCAUGGGCUCAACCUGUGGACUGCUUUGGAAACUGUGCGGCUUGAGUGUCGGAGAGGC